AUCACGCGGUUUCACCCGCGUAGUUGUCAUUCCUGAGGGAGUAUGGGGACAAAAUGUAGUCUAUGUUUCUAGGUUUCUGUUGGCGGAAGAAUUUCUAGAAAGUUUAUUAGUUUUCUAUUUAUGUAGGUAUUUAAGUUAAGUAUGUUAAUAGUGUCUUCCUCCUUGCUUAUUAUUUUGUACUAUGUAUAUAUACAUUUAGGUAUUCUGAUUUUCUUUAAAUCUUCACUUUGUUCCAAAUCUGGUAUAACAGGUAUGCGAAUUUUCAAUUUUUGAAGGCGGUGCCAAUCCAGUGUCAUGUUUUAAUUAAAGCCGUUUCCGAAAGAACCACAAAAAUUUUGUAAUUUAAAACGGCUUAAAUUAAAACAUCACUGGCUUGGCUCCGCCUUCAAACUGAUCAGAAGGUAGCAUAUAGGCAAGUGCUAAAUCAUUGUAUCAUCAGCAUCAACAGCCGAAGGACGUCCACCGCUGGACAUGGGCCUCUUGCAUGGACUUCAUGUGUCUCAAACACAAGUGGCAGAACAGUUUAAAGUACAAACAAAAAGGUAUCCUAGUUAGAGUUCCACUUCAAAGUUCAAGCACAUACUAAGUUAACAUUUCAUGUGUGUGUGUGAAUAUAUAGAUACUUGCUUUUCGCUAUGUUUGUGUUUGGGAGCAUCUAAGGAGACCUCAAUAAUCAGCCAGGUUACAAAAGAUUUUCCAACUUCGGUAAUAGAUAGGUACUGAGUUAGUAGUUUAAUUUGAACUUUUAGGAUUUAAACAAAUCUCUUAUCAUGAUGCCACCACCUUUUCAUUGAACCACAAUCUUUUGACUAAACCAGUGGCAUAGCACAGGUUUUAGCCACCCCCCAAUUUUGAAUAUUACUUCGAAGUUUAUAUUUUAUUCAACUGAUCUAAUUUAUUACACCCACAUCACACAAAUCAUAUAAACUGCCUCAUAUCAUAUAAUCAUAUGAUAUACCUUUAGAACCUGACUUUCUUUUCAUGGUCACAAGGAAAGUUACAUACUAUCAUCGAGUCUCCUCUCAGAGUGAGAGAGGUUAGGCAUAGUCCACCACACUGGCCCAAUGCAAAUUGGCAGACUUCACACACAUACAAAAUUAAGAAACUUGCUCAGGUAUGUAGGUUUCCUCAAGUUUUCCUUCACUGUUUGAUACACAGGAUAUUUUUUUUUAUUAUUUUUUUUUUGUUCUGUUUUUCUCAUGCAAUCAGUCGGCAGACUAUGAGCAGAGCUGUUGUAGUAUACACACUGGAUAUUUAAUUUCUUAAAAUGCACACAACUGAAAAGUUGGAGGUGCAUGCUCCGGACUGGAUUCAAAUCUACACCUGAAGGCAAAGGUCAUAUCCACUUAGUUAUCACGUCUCCAAGCACAAAGUUACUGCAGGCAUUGAAGUGACAUAUUUUAUUUAAUGAUGUUUAUUUGAAUUCACAAAAUUGUGGCACUUACCAUUGGCUUCCUUGCCACCACGUUGUUACGCCACUAAACUAACCCAGUAAUAAAAUUCAGAUCAUUUUGUAGGCACAUAACAUAUCUAAUAGUAGAAAUCUUUGUCAGCCUAUUCAAACAGCUCACUACAGAACCUGUGCUCCGAUGUGUGUGUAGAGUGAUAAUGUUUUAUGAAUGAUCACUAUCAGUAGACAUUGAGCAGGUGAUGGCUUAAACUGCUCUACAGCCACUUCCCCGCUCUCCAAUAUAUGGACUCAAUAGCAAACCACACUCACGACAUGAAAAAAGAAAAAGAACUAGAAAGAGGGUAGAUCGAUUCUGCCAAUAACAGGUGAUGUCAACUUCGCAUCUCGCAGCUUCAGUCCUGGGUCUACUAACUGUAACUGUAACUGGG